rnacentral:tRNA from 1 species
GGGGUUAUAGCUCAGCUGGAGAGCGCCUGCCUUGCACGCAGGAGGUCUGCGGUUCGAACCCGCAUAACUCCACCA